UACGGAGGGUGCAAGCGUUAUCCGGAUUCACUGGGUUUAAAGGGUGCGUAGGUGGGUUGGUAAGUCAGUGGUGAAAUCUCCGAGCUUAACUUGGAAACUGCCAUUGAUACUAUCAGUCUUGAAUACCGUGGAGAUGAGCGGAAUAUGUCAUGUAGCGGUGAAAUGCUUAGAUAUGACAUAGAACACCAAUUGCGAAGGCAGCUGGCUACACGAGCAUUGACACUCAGGCACGAAAGCGUGGGGAUCAAACAGG
rnacentral:rRNA from 1 species